CAGAACAGCUUCUUGUCAUGAUCGAGUGUCUGAUGACCAAGGGGACGUAGGAACAUCUGGCCAAGAUAUGACUGCCAAUAUAAAUGAAGACACAAAGCUUGAUGGCAUAUCUAAAAAGUGACUGGGAGUCUGUACGAAAGCACAGAGAUUUUGAAAUGGUUUUGUACCAACCGCACAAUGGUCAACCUUGAUGUGUUGUUCGCUGUGAUGCAUAUAUGUGGGGAGCAUAAAGAAUCUGGCACCCUAAGGCAUGGAUUUUACGCGUCUCCUUGUUCGCCGGAGUUAGACUUUAUUCAGGUUGAAUCGGAAGCCAGAGGAGGAGACAAAUGUAACCACAUCAUGCUAGGCCUAUUCAAUAAUAUUUUCAUCUGUUGCCGUUUGUUUUCUUCUGGCCGAAAGAUUUUCGCUCGUAGGCUUCAGCUUAAACUUUUCUAUAGGAGUUGGUUUUGAUGAGAGACUGUUGUUGCACUUAAGGGUUGAAAUAAAGUUGCAUCCACAUCCAGAAAGAACAGAUCGUCUUUGAGCUAUUGCUGUUAGCCUUGCUGCUGCUGUUUUAACCUGUGGAGGUAUAUUUCCUGGAAAGUGCUGCACAAUUGCUGCGAGAGAAAUCACUUAGGAGGAGUUUCAAGUGGUAAGGACCAUUUUUUUUUUUUAAUCUUGAAGGCAUAUGGCUCCAUCAAUAAUUUCCUUUUACUUUAUCAGUUCCAUUCCCUGGAGCAUAUUGAAGCUGUUGAACUUACAAGCCAAAUUUCUAGUUAUUUACUCUUGAUACAUAUGCUAAUGAGCAUUCAGCAUAUGCUGCUAGACUUGUAGCUGGUUUAUGUGUUGUUCUUGCUUCAGCAAUAUUUUCUAGACGUGUGAGAAAUGGGUUUGCUCUGGUUUGACCUCCUGGUCAUCAUGCUGGUGUCACACAAGCAAUGGGAUUCUGUCUCCACAAUAAUGCAGCCAGUUGCUGCAUUAGCAGCUCAGGUUGCAGGGGCGAAGAGGGUGCUCAUUUUUGAUUGGAUAAGUUCUUAUUAACUUCUCUUGAUGCUUAACUUCUUUGUUGCUGGAGAUUUGGAUUAUUUUGAAGUAAUGGCUAAAUGAUGGGUUUAUUGCCAUCAAAAUUUUGAGUUAGUGGUUCUCUGUUGAUUAUUUCAGGAUGUUCAUCAUGGAAAUGGUACCCAGGAGAUAUUUGGCCAGAAUACAUUGGUGUUGUACAUAUCCUUUACAUAGACAUGAAGGGGGAAAGUUCUGUCUUGGUACUGGGGCAGUUUUUGAGCAAAAAGAAAAGAAAAAAUAUACAUGUGUAUGAAGAAUGGGUGAAAGACGUGCAUGGUGCAUGGGAGGAGCACCAAAGUUGCAAGGUUCCACAAGCUGGAUCAAGACCCAACUAGAGGAUGUUGAUGUGGCCUUUUCAAGUGCUGUAAUUGGUCUUUAGUUUGACUUCUUGAAGUAGCAAAUACAUGUUAAAGAGCAGCUUGCAAAUUUGUGAAGUAGCAAAACAAACCAACGUGAACCAGACUAGGAGGUGCACUAGGCGUGAGCAUCAGGGGAAGAAAAAGGCUCUGGAAGCCCAGCCUCCUGGAGACCUUUCUGAAUUUCUUUUAGACUUAAAGCUUCUCCUAUCUACUUAUAAAUAGAGGGAGAGGCUGACAAUUAGGAGAGAGUUAGUUUAGGAUUUAAAUUUUUAUUUCUUUACUUUUUUACACUUUUUUUUUUUGUACUUUAUAUUUUCUUAGUUACUAAACACUUUAUUU